UUAGACACAUAUACACUGAAUUUUGUAUAUUAUCGUAAGGUGUCAUGGAACCAAGUCCCAGGGCUGAAUUUCCAAGCCCUGGACUUGGAGUCAUAACAUAAAUAACCCUGAAAACACCUGGCGGGAGAAGAUAUAAUGAGCCUGGGAACUCAGGGUUGAAAGUAUAAACAAUCAUAAUUGGUAUAGUGUGUGGGAAUAGUAGAAAUGUGAGACAAAGGGGUGGGGUUUGAUGAUGAUAUUUGCGUGUGGUGUUACGUUGCAUCAGAGGUGAUAAAAAUGAGUGUAUGUAAACAUUAGGUCAUUCUCGACUUUUCCAAAGUCAUGUAUUCUUCAAUAAAGAUUGGAUUUGAGAGCAGCUAUCUCUGAUCUGCGUUCAGACUGGUCCUUUGAAUCUUGAUUGUCUAACAGCUAUGUCUCUGUCUGAUUUCAAGAAUAUCUCUGUGCAUGUGUUGGAUCACAAUCCACACCAUUCUCAACCAAAGUAGGUAAAUUAUAAUAGCUGGGAUGGUGGGAUUUAUUAUUUAACACACGGGAAGAGUGCUACAUUGGGGAAAGCAGAACACUGUGUAUGAGGGAAAAUACUCCAAACCUACAAGAGAGCAAGAAAUGAGGACAGGGUGAAUUGAGGAAUUUAAAAAAUCUUUUCCUUUUUCUUCUGUAUUCCAAGGUAUAAGAUUGCUGUUGGCACAUCCAUUACCAAGACUUCACAUCUUUAAAGGGAAGUCUGACAAACCAGCACACACAAAUCAUUUUUACAAGGGAGGAGAAAUCCAUGCAUUUAGUUCUUCAGGUCAUCAUAGAAUCUUGGUCAAUAAUGCAAUCAGUGCAAUUGCACAAUUCCAGCAUUUAAAACCAAACAAAUAAAAAGACAAAUAUAAAAAUAAAAUAAAAGGAAAACAGUCUGCUUGGAAAUAGUGAUGAGGAGAGAAGAAUAAACCCACCUUUUGAUGUCCUCUUACUGCUGGCAAACUGGCACAUAAGUUGAAAGGACUCCUCACAAUAAGGUAGGUGAGACAAGCAUGGCAAAAUUGGGAGCUAUUGAUAAGUUUUAUCUAUUAAUAGUUAGUGAUGAGAGGAUCAUGGGGAGGAGGGAGACCAAUAGCAAGAUGUAUAAUAAGAUAGUGUGAUAGUCCAGCUGCAAUGUCAGUCUUGCUGCCUCAUGUGAUAAAGUCUUAAGCAUGACUAAAUCUGGAUCCAACCUGCAUGUCUAGAUGGCUCAUUGAUAUGUGCCAAAAAAGC
rnacentral:lncRNA from 1 species